rnacentral:hammerhead_ribozyme from 1 species
AUCCAGCUUGACGAGUCCUAAAUAGGAUGAAACGCACAUCCUGGAU